GGACCUGACUGCUAUCGGAUUGAUACUAAGCCAUGCGAGUCAUUGUAGCAAUACAAGGCAUACGGCUCAGUAACGCGUAGUCAACCUAACCUAUGGACGGGAAUAACCUCGGGAAACUGAGAAUAAUGCCCGAUAGAACAUUAUGCCUGGAAUGGUUUAUGUUCCAAAUGAUUUAUCGCCGUAGGAUGGGACUGCGGCCUAUCAGUUUGUUGGUGAGGUAAUGGCCCACCAAGACUAUUACAGGUACGGGCUCUGAGAGGAGUAGCCCGGAGAUGGGUACUGAGACACGGACCCAGGCCCUAUGGGGCGCAGCAGGCGAGAAAACUUUGCAAUGUGCGAAAGCACGACAAGGUUAAUCCGAGUGG
rnacentral:rRNA from 1 species